AAUAAAUGUAGUUCUAGCACGGUUCAUAUCUAACAUUUGACCGUUCGUGUUAUUUGAAAAAAAAAUAUGAUCAGUAUUUUACUGUUAUUAGAUAAUAAAACAUGAAUAGUACUUUAAGUGUAACUAUUUUUUUAUUUUUUUAAAAAAUUUUUAAAUAAGACGGAUGAUCAAAACGCUAAACACGGAUAUCUAUAGCUGCACUUAUU
rfam:Oryza sativa (indica cultivar-group) chromosome 6, whole genome shotgun sequence.